rnacentral:rRNA from 1 species
AUUGAACGCUGGCGGCAGGCCUAACACAUGCAAGUCGAACGGUAACAGGAAACAGCUUGCUGUUUCGCUGACGAGUGGCGGACGGGUGAGUAAUGUCUGGGAAACUGCCUGAUGGAGGGGGAUAACUACUGGAAACGGUAGCUAAUACAGCAUAACGUCGCAAGACCAAAGAGGGGGACCUUCGGGCCUCGUGCUAUCGGAUGUGCCCUGAUGGGAUUAGCUAGUAGGUGGGGUAACGGCUCACCUAGGCGACGAUCCCUAUCUGGUCUGAGAGGAUGACCAGCCACACUGGAACUGAGACACGGUCCAGACUCCUACGGGAGGCAGCAGUGGGGUAUAUUGCACAAUGGGCGGAAGCCUGAUGCAGCCAUGCCGCGUGUAUGACGAAAGCCUUCGGGUUGUAAAGUACUUUCAGCGGGGAGGAAGGGAGUAAAGUUAAUACCUAUGCUCAUUGACGUUACCCGAAGAAGAAGCACCGGCUAACUCCGUG